UUCUAUUUUAAAAUAGCAACUAUUUUACUUUAUAUUCUCAUUGUCUCUCUUGUGCCAAUGUUUUUGGCUGUAAUUUUGUUGGUUUGUUGGCCCAGUUUUUGGCUAUCAGGUUUUCUCCCAUAUUUGCGAAUGCGGCAGUGUUUUGAUGUUUUAAUGGUGCAACGCUAUUUCAUUUUGUGUUAUGAAAUCAAUUUUUUUUGUAUUUGAACUAAUUACUUUUAUUCCUUUAUUUUAUUUCUUAUUUAUGGUUAAUAUAAAUGUGGCUAAUUCACUCUAUCUUAGUUUUCAUGCUAGUGCUAGUGUUUCUGUCCCCAAUUUUUAUUGUUGUUGCUUAGUUGAUUUUUUCUUAUCGGAUUUUCUAUUGUAUUUGUCCAUAUGUACAUUUUAGUUAUUAUUUUGUUAGCUACUAUAAUAUAUAAUAUUUUUUAUUUAGAAAACAAAACUAUACUAUAUUUAAUGUUGUAUGAAAUUAAAGGAAAAUGAGAUUAGUACACAUUAUGUGUCAGUAUGCAUAAUUACCUGCCAAGUUUGGUAAUUAUUUCUAAUCAAGUUGAAGCACCAGUCAGCACACAAGAUGAGCUCAGGCAUACGCAUGUUGUAGCAUCACAACCUCGCAAAAAAAAAGCAUCACCGGAGUCUUGGUAGGGCUGGCUACAAGAGGGCCAUCAUGAGAGUUUUAGUGGGCUUCAAUAGGGAGCAUCCAGCACGGCAUUGGGCUCUGGAUAGCAUGGUUCGUUGGAUUUUUUUUUUGCAGGUGGUUUGUUGGAUGUUAAAUCAAGGGUGUGGAAAAAAGUGACUAAAACUGAAGUAAAUUUCAGGUUCCUGAUGCAUAGGUGCUCCCAAAUUUAACUAUUACUAGCACAAAUGCCCGUGCAUUGCGACGGGGAGAAUACCAGUUCUUAUGAACCACGAUUUGGUGCCACGGAGAAUACCAGUACCAUCUUGAUCUCAGCUGCUAAAGUAGACGUUUGUUUACAAUCUAUCUUUUAUGGCAGAUUACUGCGAGGGUAAGUUGACUAAGUCAGAAAAAACUCGCUAAUAAUUCCUUGACCAUGGUAACGAAUAUACUAUAAUCGAAAUAAAGAACCCAGUUAGUAGAAAAUUAGUUUUAUGAAGAGCAAAGCAUUCGUUAGCAAAACUGAGUUACAGUUUAUAGAGUUGUAGAAUUAGAGAAAGAAAAUGCGUCGAAACCGAUAGUUGCAAUGAAGAAGUAUUGAAUAUAAACUGCAACUAUGGAUCUUUCACUUUGCAUAGGUUUUACUUGUGCAUGCAGAGAAUAAUUUCAAUUCUAGUUUAUGGUUCAUGUAUAUGGAACACCUUCAGCCCAGCACCCCACAGGACUUGAGCGACCCACACACUAAUCUCUUAGUGUACAAUUUUUGGAAUCACAAGCAUAUCUGCAUGUACGUGCUCGCUAAUAUCCUAAUACAACAGCCAAGAAUGAUACACCAAGUUCCCAACUGUCUUAACUGACGGACAACAAUAGUUCCACUUCCACAUGGAAGUUGAAGUUGACUGACCUAAUGAUGUGCUCAUAAGAAUGAUUUCUGUCAAGUCAUGAGCAAUUAUAUGAAGUGGAUUUCAAAGUUCUGUUUGAACAGAAAAGCCAUGAGCAAUAAACGAUGCCUGCACAUGUACUAAUUAGGGGUCAUCACGGAAUGGAAGGAGGUCUACAACAGUACUCUGCCGACAAGACUCACAUCUCAUUCCUGUAGGUAGCGUUUUGGCAUACUUUGAUAUGGGGUUAGAUGACUAGGGAUGUAGGAUUCUGCUUCUCCUGAUGCGCUGAUGCAUCUUUGCUGAGUAGUGUAAUGGAUGGUGUUGAUGUAUCCCAAACUCCAUUUUCGUAAUGAAAAUGGGGCCCGGGUGGUCCCUUUUAUCGAAAAAGAGAUGACUAACAUCUAACUGAAGUUAAUACAGGAGCAGUGGUGCACCAGAGGUCAUGGAUGGAGGAGGGCACGGGAAAGGAUGAAGUCGAGGAUGCGGGAUGACCAUCAGCUAGUUCUAGCCGCUGCAGGGCGUGCGAGCUCCCCGUGGUCGGAGUCCAUGACAUCCGCGGCGGUGACGAGCAAUCGGAGACGGCCAUGGAGCCGCUGCUGCCAUGGAUCUGCCCGAGAAACCGUGCUCCGGCCUUCCUCGUCGUCACCAGUGCCUCCCCCCUCGUCCUCCGCUGCGGCAGUAGCCAUCUCCGCCGCCGACAAGGGCGUCACCCCUCAGCCGAGCACGCGUCCAGGCGAGGCGGCCUCCAUCCUCCGGCGCGAGCACGAGGCCGCCUUCCCGUCCUCCCCCGAGGCCAUGGCCGUCUUCACCGCCGACAAGGGCACCGCUUGCCGAACGGACUGCGGGGCUAGGACCGGCAGAGGUCGAAGUGGACUGCCGGCAGGGUCGUGAGGUUAGGUUAUUUUUUUUAUCUCGACCGUACCGGUUCGGCUGACUUAUUUUAUGUACCGCGUGUCAAAUUUCAAAAGACAUAGGGACUUUCUUGCAAAAUCGCCGUGAUGCUGAACCCGGCAGACUCAACCCGUGCUUCAUUAUUAGGGAAAAGACUUCAUAUCAA